GACUCCUACGGGAGGCAGCAGUGGGGAAUAUUGGACAAUGGGCGAAAGCCUGAUCCAGCCAUGCCGCGUGUGUGAAGAAGGUCUUCGGAUUGUAAAGCACUUUAAGUUGGGAGGAAGGGCAGUAAGCUAAUACCUUGCUGUUUUGACGUUACCAACAGAAUAAGCACCGGCUAACUUCGUGCCAGCAGCCGCGGUAAUACGA
rnacentral:rRNA from 1 species